rnacentral:misc_RNA from 1 species
AUGUAGCUCGGUACGUCAUAAUACAAUACUACUAGACGAGAAGCGAACAUUAAAAAAUAUUGACUGCUAGAUACAUUUGCACCGUGUUGGUUUGACGCCCUUUCUUUUCAUCGAGAACAAGGUCAAAGAAACAUUCUUGUGAAUCUCUUAAUGGUAUAUAAUAAUUUAAUUUAAUGUUAUUUUAUGGCUUAAACUUAUUAGAAAAAUGAGAAUCUCGAAAUUAAAACAAUAACAAAGGGAAGUCAUCAUCAUCAUCAUCACUGCAGCCUUUCGCAUUCACGCCAUUUCAUAGUCACCGCGCCUGGGUAGGC